rnacentral:rRNA from 1 species
AGCGAACGCUGGCGGCAGGCUUAACACAUGCAAGUCGAGCGGGCAUCUUCGGAUGUCAGCGGCAGACGGGUGAGUAACCCGUGGGAACGUACCCUUCGGUUCGGAACAACUCUGGGAAACUGGAGCUAAUACCGGAUACGCCCUUAUGGGGAAAGGUUUACUGCCGAAGGAUCGGCCCGCGUCUGAUUAGCUAGUUGGUGGGGUAACGGCCUACCAAGGCGACGAUCAGUAGCUGGUCUGAGAGGAUGAUCAGCCACACUGGGACUGAGACACGGCCCAGACUCCUACGGGAGGCAGCAGUGGGGAAUAUUGGACAAUGGGCGCAAGCCUGAUCCAGCCAUGCCGCGUGAGUGAUGAAGGCCUUAGGGUUGUAAAGCUCUUUUGUCCGGGACGAUAAUGACGGUACCGGAAGAAUAAGCCCCGGCUAACUUCGUG